GACGAACGCUGGCGGCGUGCUUAACACAUGCAAGUCGAACGGAGUGGCGAACGGGUGAGUAACGCGUAAUCAACCUGCCCUUCAGAGGGGGACAACAGUUGGAAACGACUACUAAUACCGCAUACUGAAGGAGGGGAGUGCGUCUGAUUAGCUUGUUGGAGGGGUAACGGCCCACCAAGGCGAUGAUCAGUAGCCGGUCUGAGAGGAUGGACGGCCACAUUGGGACUGAGACACGGCCCAGACGCAUACGGGAGGCAGCAGUGGGGAAUCUUCCGCAAUGGACGAAAGUCUGACGGAGCAACGCCGCGGGAGUGAUGACGGCCUUCGGGUUGUAAAGCUCUGUGAAUCGGGACGCGGUACCGGAAUAGAAAGCCACGGCUAACUACGUGCCAGCAGCCGCGGUAAUUC
rnacentral:rRNA from 1 species